rnacentral:tRNA from 1 species
GAAGGUAUAGCUCAGUGGUAGAGUGCCUGCUUAGCAUGCAUGAGUUCCUGGGUUCAAUUCCCAUGUACCUCUA